rnacentral:rRNA from 1 species
CUAAUACAUGCAGUCGAGCGAACGGACGAGAAGCUUGCUUCUCUGAUGUUAGCGGCGGACGGGUGAGUAACACGUGGAUAACCUACCUAUAAGACUGGGAUAACUUCGGGAAACCGGAGCUAAUACCGGAUAAUAUUUUGAACCGCAUGGUUCAAAAGUGAAAGACGGUCUUGCUGUCACUUAUAGAUGGAUCCGCGCUGCAUUAGCUAGUUGGUAAGGUAACGGCUUACCAAGGCAACGAUGCAUAGCCGACCUGAGAGGGUGAUCGGCCACACUGGAACUGAGACACGGUCCAGACUCCUACGGGAGGCAGCAGUAGGGAAUCUUCCGCAAUGGGCGAAAGCCUGACGGAGCAACGCCGCGUGAGUGAUGAAGGUCUUCGGAUCGUAAAACUCUGUUAUUAGGGAAGAACAUAUGUGUAAGUAACUGUGCACAUCUUGACGGUACCUAAUCAGAAAGCCACGGCUAACUACGUGCCAGCAGCCGCGGUAAUACGUAGGUGGCAAGCGUUAUCCGGAAUUAUUGGGCGUAAAGCGCGCGUAGGCGGUUUUUUAAGUCUGAUGUGAAAGCCCACGGCUCAACCGUGGAGGGUCAUUGGAAACUGGAAAACUUGAGUGCAGAAGAGGAAAGUGGAAUUCCAUGUGUAGCGGUGAAAUGCGCAGAGAUAUGGAGGAACACCAGUGGCGAAGGCGACUUUCUGGUCUGUAACUGACGCUGAUGUGCGAAAGCGUGGGGAUCAAACAGGAUUAGAUACCCUGGUAGUCCACGCCGUAAACGAUGAGUGCUAAGUGUUAGGGGUUUCCGCCCCUUAGUGCUGCAGCUAACGCAUUAAGCACUCCG